AUACGUAGGGGACGAGCGUUGUCCGGAAUUACUGGGCGUAAAGGGCGCGCAGGCGGAUAUUUAAGUCAGCUGUAAAAGGCAUGAGCUCAACUCAUGUAUGCGGUUGAAACUGGGUAUCUAGAGUGCUGGAGAGGUAGGCGGAAUUCCCGGUGGAGCGGUGAAAUGCGUAGAUAUCGGGAAGAACACCAGUGGCGAAGGCGGCUUACUGGCCAGCAACUGACGCUGAGGCGCGAAAGCCAGGGGAGCGAACGGGAUUAGAUACCCCGGUAGUCCUGGCCGUAAACGAUGAAUGCUAGGUGUGGGUGUCGAGAGGCAUCCGUGCCGGAGUUAACGCGAUAAGCAUUCCGCCUGGGGAGUACGAUCGCAAGAUUGAAACUCAAAUGAAUUGACGGG
rnacentral:rRNA from 1 species